rnacentral:lncRNA from 1 species
GGAAAAGGAAAUUCAUGAAGCUUUCACUGCAGCUAUGCCAGCAGAUAACAGACAAGAGAGUAUCCAGAAGACAUGCCAUUCUUGAGGUGGCAGGUGGUCAGCUGCGAAUCAAACCGAUACACACAAAUCCAUGUUUUUACCAGUCUUCAGAGAAGAGUCAGCUCUUACCAUUGAAGCCAAAUCUAUGGUGCUAUUUGAAUCCUGGAGACAGCUUUUCUUUGUUAGUUGACAAAUACAUUUUCCGCAUUCUCUCUAUACCCUCUGA